rnacentral:rRNA from 1 species
UACGGAGGAUCCGAGCGUUAUCCGGAUUUAUUGGGUUUAAAGGGUGCGCAGGUUGUUUGAUAAGUCAGUGGUGAAAGUCUGUCGCUUAACGGUAGUAUUGCCAUUGAUACUGUUAGACUUGAAUAUGGAUGAGGUAGGCGGAAUGUGUAGUGUAGCGGUGAAAUGCAUAGAUAUUACACAGAACACCGAUUGCGAAGGCAGCUUACUAAUCCAUCAUUGACGCUGAGGCACGAAAGCGUGGGGAUCAAACAGGAUUA